CUGGGCUCAGAUUCGCUUAGGC
rnacentral:miRNA from 1 species